rnacentral:misc_RNA from 1 species
GAUGAAGAACGCAGCGAAAUGCGAUAAGUAGUGUGAAUUGCAGAAUUCAGUGAAUCAUCGAAUCUUUGAACGCACAUUGCGCCCCUCGGUAUUCCGUGGGGCAUGCCUGUUCGAGCGUCAUUUACCCCUCAAGCUCUGCUUGGUGUUGGGCGUUGUCCCGCUUCGCGCGAGGACUCGCCCUAAAGGUAUUGGCAGCGGUCGUGCCACCCCUCGCGCAGCACAUUGCGCUUCUUGAGGCGGUCGAUCAGCGUCCACAAAGCUCACAUCACAUCUUGACCUCGCAUCAGGUAGGGAUACCCGCUGAACUUAAGCAUAUCAAUAAGCGGAGGA